rnacentral:rRNA from 1 species
UGCAAGUCGAACGGUAACAGGUCCAGCAAUGGAUGCUGACGAGUGGCGCACGGGUGCYUAACACGUAUGCAAUCUACCCUUAACUGGGGGAUAGCCCCGAGAAAUCGGGAUUAAUACCCCAUAAAAUUACGAAGUGGCAUCAUUUUAUAAUUAAAGCUCCGGCGGUUUUGGAUGAGCAUGCGCGACAUUAGCUAGUUGGUGAGGUAACGGCUCACCAAGGCGACGAUGUCUAGGGGUUCUGAGAGGAUUCACCCCCACACUGGUACUGAGACACGGACCAGACUCCUACGGGAGGCAGCAGUAAGGAAUAUUGGUCAAUGGACGCAAGUCUGAACCAGCCAUGCCGCGUGAAGGAUGACGGCCCUAUGGGUUGUAAACUUCUUUUGUACGGGAAAAAACCCUCGGUCGUGUAUCGGGGUUGAUGGUACCGUAAGAAUAAGCAUCGGCUAACUCCGUGCCAGCAGCCGCGGUAAUACGGAGGAUGCGAGCGUUAUCCGGAUUCAUUGGGUUUAAAGGGUGCGUASGCRGAAUGAUWWCUCAGUGGUGAAAUCCUACMGCUUAACUGKRGAACUGCCMUUGAUACUAUCGKUCUUGAGUACAUUUGARGUGGG